UUAAACGUCUAAAGUAAACUUGGACAAUUUAACCCUCAUUUCCUCUCUACUUUGCAGCAGCUGAACUGUCUUGUCUCCUGUAAUGAUGACUGAAUUUCUCCUGGUAGAAGAGAUGGCUUCAGCACCUUUCUCUUCCUCACGGAGGAAUGACAUGAAGAAUCUCUGUUCCUGAAAAGGGUUUAUGUUUAAUUGGCCAUGAGAAACUAUCAAUGAGACCAACUAUAAGAGUAGAUAUCCUCAGAGGAAAACCUGACUACGAAAGUCCAUGGCAGCCUUAUUUUCAUAAAGCAUUACUGGUAAACCACCAUGAGGCACUCUUACUGUCGUUCUAAAAUAAACGAUAAUAGUUAAUGAUGUAGGUAAAAAGAAAACCUGAAUAAAUAUCUAUUUAUCAAAUUCCAUUUAAA